CCUCUAUAUUUUUAUGUACAGGUGCAUUAAUUGGGCUUCGCUAAGGUAUUGCUCAUCAAAAUCUAUGGAGAGUCGGCUGAGCUAAAAUUGGUAGUGUUAUUAGCCACAUAAGGUAGUGAGGCUGCCUCUGGAAAAACAAGUGUACGUUUUAUAGAUUUUCAAAAGACGGACUUGUCAAACUUAUCUAUCAAAAUGUUCUCCAGAAUCCUGAGGCGGCCGUUUGCUGACGUUAUCGGAAUGCGCUUGUUGAUGCUGUCGGAGUGCAGAACUGUCGACUGGACAUCGAAGUAUGUGGUGGGAUCGGUGGUUAGGGUGGGAUGGAAGGAUUCGGCGGAAUCGGCGGGAUCGACGGAAAUUGAAUAAUUUGACGCCAGUUUGACCAGGGUUCUCGAGCGCUAUUGACUGGGGCCAAUAUAAGGUGUUAAUCAACCUUUUUAAUCAGAAUUAUUUCUCGAAUAAACCAAAUAGGGAUGUGAUGAUAAACGGAACUUUGCCGUAAACGUUGGAAUCCAUCUUACAGUUCCGGAAUGAUCAAUCAUCUCUUAAGCUGUAAAGAUGUAAGGGAGGAUAAUGCCU
rnacentral:lncRNA from 1 species